UGGGAUUUAUCCCGUGCGUACUCUGGGAUAGCGGCUGCGGGUUCCCUUGUCAACAAAAAAAAGAGAGAUACGUAACAACAUCCCCGGAUUCCCCAUAUGUGGAUAGCUGAUGAAACUAGGGCAAUUUGGAAGUGGUCACACCUUGUACAAUUUGGCUUGCCUUUGUUAAAUAGGGGACCCUCAUCAGGUCCCAAUUGGAUAAUAGUUAAUACUACAAAUUAAUCUCCACUGUGCCAUCAUCUUCAUUGAUACCAAAACUGGGAGAGGAAAACAAAAGUUAGUUGGAAUCAAGUUGUCUAUAAAGGAGAGCAAAGUUGUGUAUGAAAUAAGACAGCAUUCGUGGAGUCAUGCAUGUGACUUUGCAGAACAAAUGGUAUAUUGAUUAUUUUUACAAACAUGCAGUAGAAAAGGCCCAUUUUUUUUUUCUUUUUCUUUGAAAAAAAUUCAAAUGGAAUAAAGAAAGGAUAAUCUAUAUCCCAGUCAUUUUGAAUUGAACAAGAGAAAAGUCUCAACCAUUGCUAAGGUGUUCUUCUUGGAAAUCCUCUGUCUAGGGAUAAUGAUAACAAUCCCCUAACAAUUACAGAUGCCAAUUCUUGAUACAAGGUUUAUUGUCUUUCAAGUUAAAAUUUGAGCACAUUUAAUGCUGUCUUUGAGUGAUUGAUAGCUACUAGCAAUAUUUUCAGUGUGUGGCUUGAUUAAUUAACUAAUUAACGAGUCUAAUCUAAUAAAAAGAUUAUCUUUAAUUAAGGAACUACCUUUUGGCAUUAGCUAGAAUGUUCAUGGAGGGAUCACUUCUAUGGGUCUUCUUCAAACUAGUAUAAAUUUUGAAGACCUUGUCUUAAGCAUCUAAAAGUAACUCCAAUUUUUGCUUUGACCAGCUUCUAAAAGAAAACGGGUAAUUCACUCACAAUUAUGCAAAAUUGUGUUGGUGAAAUCAACAUCUAGGACAGGCUUAUCUAUUAUAAUUCAGAAUGUAGAGAAGAAGCUUUGUAAUUGCAACAAAUUUCACGAGAUGUAGAGAAGAAGCUUUUUCUUUUUUUUUCUUUUUUUCUUUUUUGUAAUCCAAGCUUAUUCUUUAGUAGCAAAAUGAUUUAUUAGAUGGCUUUCGUUCUUUCCUUUUUUUUCAAACCAAAUGAGAAAAGAAAUUAUAUAUAAAAAUCGUCUCAUCACUUUAUUAUGUCCCCCUCUAGGAUUUAGAGGUCCUAGAAGUCCUGACUUCUGUUCCGCUUUUCUCAUUCCUGUUUCUUAAAUCUCAUCCUUUCCCCGUUAAAAAAAUAAAAAUUAAAAAAAAACUGUACUAUGUCCCUCCAAAUCUGUGAAACCUUAUUUGUCUAACUUUUGACCAGUAAUGAAAACCUCAGUUUUUUUUUUCCGGUAAAAAGGCAGUAAAAGUUGUUUACAAUAAUUUAUUUUUCUUUUAACUACAAUGGAUUCAAUCACACCUACAUUCUCAGCUAAAAGAAAACCUUACUAGUCAAGUGCUAACCACUAAGUUGCUUUCAAAGCGAUGGAUCGAUCCUUAGAAAUUCCUACUGACCUGUCUUCUAUCUAAUUACCAUUUUUAUGAGACUCCACACUGCAAUAAAUUUCUGUUCCCGAAAACUAACUACUCCAGAACAAGAAUAGCUAAUCGACUUGUAAAAUGCCUAUAACAUAAUUCCUAUUCUGAAAUCAUCUUCCCAUAUGCCUCCUGCAUUCAACUCGAAAAUCCUUGUUUUUAAUUUUCUCACCUUCUUGGCCAUCAAAAUACAGAGAAAUUAUUCUUGCAUAUGCAUGCAUGGAGCAUUGGAGCAAGACUUCUUCAGUGGAGCCCUUACCUCUAGGAGGAUGGAAGAAUAAGCGAAAAAUGGAGGAAAUUGGUGUAACUACCGCUGAUGAAUGCCAUUUUCCUAAUAUCAAAGUUCACGAGGGUCAAAAGAUUUUCCCGGUGGUGCGAGUCCCACAUGGAGUUUUCAGAAGACCAGUUGAUAUUCCAAGUAUUACCAGCAACCGUGAAGCUUCAGAAAUCCGGGUUGAUCACGUGAAGUCUCCAAGGUUCAUAAGAAACCUGAUUUCUACUCUUGAAAAUGGAGUAAAUCAGAAAGUACCGGCUGAAAAAGCUCGAAGUAUAUCAAGGGCAGAAGCAAACGUUUCUGGAAGAAUUUUUAAUAGUCAUGAAGAAACUGGAGAUGACCACCAAAGCAUCCAUAAAAGCUUCAUCACAAAUGAUUUUUCCAGGUCAUCCAUGGCGCCCGGCACCUCUACUACGAAAACUGCUCCUGAUCAUGGAAAGAAGUACCAAAAAAAUGUUGUCAAGGCCAGGCAAAAAGUGAUGGAGAUUUUAGAAGAAUUUCGAGCUUAUUGUGACCAUCUAUCGCGGAUGAACAGCGACAAGAAGUAUGAUAACAAAAAUCGGGUAUAUUCCUUAGCUGCAAGGAUGACCAAAGAGAAAUUUCGUCACUAUCAGGACAGGCCCUUCUUAGGACCAGUUCCUGGUGUGGAAAUUGGAGAUCAAUUCCGCUGCAGGAUGGAGCUUAACGUUGUAGGCCUUCAUCAUCCUUGGCGGGGAGGGAUUGAAUAUAUGAAUGAUGGAGGAAGAACUGUAGCCACCAGUAUUGUGGAUUCUGGGAGUUAUGAAAACUACAAGCCUAAUAAAGAUACGUUGAUAUAUUGUGGUCAAGGAGGGUAUAAUACAAGUGCAAAUGUGGGGCUAGAAAUCGCUGAAGAUCAGAAGCUGGAAGGGGGAAAUUUGGCAUUGUUCAAUAGCAUAAGGACAAAGAAUCCUGUGAGAGUGAUAAGGGGAACUAAGGUAUUAAGGGCCUCUAUGACUUACUUCUAUGAUGGAUUGUACACGGUUGAGAAAAUGUGGGAAGACAAAGGUUUACAAGGGAAGAAGAUUUUCAAGUUCAAGUUAGUGAAAAUGCCAGGACAAGUCAAGCAUCCUUGCUAAAACAAAUUUAAGG
rnacentral:lncRNA from 1 species